rnacentral:misc_RNA from 1 species
AGGGGGCGGGGAGCGAACCAGCCCGGGGCGUCUCUCCUUCGGUGACGGGGACAUGGUGGGGCUGUCCCCCGCCGGAGGCUCCCCAGGCAGCCUCAAGGUACCCGGGGCUGUUGCUGCGACGUCAGGAGGACUCGGCAGGAUCGCCAGACUGUUGGUGAAGGACACCUCACGCGGGGGCGAGGAGUCCUACAGGAGAAGGACCCAUUCCCUGGAGAGACGUUCUCUGCGACUCCGUUUCCAUCGGCCGUCCAUGCAGGAAGCAUCGAUCAGAUUGUUCAGGAAAGAGAUUUUGGGUUGCUACUGGGAAAACCUUUUCCUCUACCUUUACUUUUAACUCAGAUGGGGGUGUGGCAGCCAGAGCCGCCCCCUCCCAGGCCUGCAUGCUUCCGCUAUCACUCAUUCAAGCUUCCUAGUUCCCCUUGGAGCUGGAGUUGGUCAUGUUGCUUUGUGAUCCACAAUACAUGUCACCAUACACACACGGCUAAUACCACAGCUUCACUGUUAAUUUUUAUUAAUAUAAUAACUAUGUGAAUGAAAUCAAUAUAAGCUGUGAUUAUUUUACAGUACUGAAAACUGUACGUAAAUUAAUUUCGUCUCUACAUAAUGUUAUUUUGGAAAUAAUUUUCAUUUCUUUCUCUGAUUUUGCUAACUGUAAAAUAAAAUCAAUCUCAGCUGCCUGCUAAAACAUUUCAAGUCUUAUCAGUAACAAUAUGAAUUAAUGUGGAUAUAAAUACUGUACAGUAUGUUGUAGUAAUGCCCUUUCCUAACUAGUGUCAGUCCAGCAGGAGCCACACCCCUACAUGAGAAAUACCCGUGUCGAAACUUACCUCUUACAUAUACAGUACUUUGGUAUCUUGCUUGUUUAAUCGCAGUUCCAACGCUUUGCUCAGCCUCCAGUACUGUAUACUGUGUUCUGUACAGCACUCAGCGUCGCUUGGAGUCUUGUCUUGUGUUCCUUUGUCAGUCGUCUCGUACAAUGUAUGCAGGUACUUAUUAUUGCUCUUGGUAAUACUUUCAUUCUUUAUCACUCUUUUUAAUUAUCUUUCAUCUUUACGUAUAAUAUUUGCGAGAUUUUUGUUUUUAUUUUCAUGUCAUUUACUGAUAGAAGUUGAAAUGUAUCGCGUUAGCAUGUAUACCCAAUCACCGUAAGUCUUCUUUGUCCGUUGGAGAAGUGUUAGGAUACUAGAGUUCCCCCUGUGCUAGUGCCUCACAACUCUCUCUCUCUCGUCAUGGUUUUCUUUGUCGGGCCAACUGAUGUAAUGUUGGUAUGGUAGACGGUAAGAAUUUUGUCGUCUUUUAAAUGUGUUUAGGAAUGCUCGCUCUUUUUCCCUCAUCAAGAUUUCUACGUUAGUUAAUGAUUCGGAUGCAUCAUUUUCUUGUCUGCAUAUUUAUUGAUAUUCGUGUACUCAGGAGUUAAGAUAAAAUGUGGAUCAUCGCCAGAGAUAUGUUCACAAUAACGUCUAUUUAAGUUUAUGCCGCUGUUGUCAAUAUAAUUUCUUAUAUUUAUAGUUUUAAUUAAUUAAAUUUGUCAAUAAAAAAUCAGGAGGACAUAGUUUUAUUUUGCCUUAAUUUUAUUGUUCUUAUAUUAACUCAUUCAUUGUGUUAGUUUUCCCCAGACGCUACGACAUUCAUCAAUAUUAGUUCUAGUUUAAGAUCACUAAAUUCUUUCUAAUAUCAGCAACUUAGAGCUAAUACCUCAGGAUUUCAUUUGCCUGUAUUCUUUUGCUAAUUAAAAAGGAACUUACAUUAUACAAUACUGUAUAUAGAUAUCUUCCCGUGUUGUCCGUGUGUAAACCGCUAAUUAAUUGACGAGUGGUGAAUUUCUUCUCUAAAAGUUUAUCAUCUAAUUGACUGCGAGGGUCAGACCAUCAGAAAAACUAUUCUGAAUUGUCCCUUAAUAAGAGUGUAGUCACUGUUGUGACUGUAUAUUUUAAGCUAUGCAUAUUUCGGAAAUAAUACGUUAGGUGUAGACUGUGUUGUAAUUAGUUGCAAUACAGUGUAAAUGUGUUCUGACAGAUUUGAGAUAACAUUAUGACAAUAGCUGAAAACCACGUAUUUGAAUUCAUUUUUAUUGCUUCCAUAUAGGAUAGAAGGAAUGUUAUCAUCACAAAUUGAGUUUCCGAUUACAGUAUUAGGAUUUGACAUGAGUAACAAGAUAUUUAUUGAAGUAUAGAAUUAUCCUACAGCUUGGAUGAAAUAAUUUUUUUAGAUGAAUUAGCAGAAAAUGGGUCAAAUUUCAAGUUCUAGCUCUCAUAUUUUACAAUUUGUGUUGAACUAGUGUAUUGCUAACCUUGUUCUGCGCUUAACAACUUUAGUUGUUGAAGGGCAUUAAUAACAUUAUAAUAACUAACAGUUUCAAGAACCUAUUCGUUCCACUUUUGUUCGGAUUUCCGAGAGGAUCGAUAAAACUGCAUUUAAAUAUCUACUUGCUAUUGAUUCUUGCCAAGAUUUUCAUGACUAUAUCAUUAGCUAUUGUAAUAUUUUAUUAAUUGAAUAAUAUAUUAUAAUAUUUGGUAAUUGUCAAGCCCUCACACAAGGUCUAUAUGGAUCCUAUUAUAGACCUUACCCUGGCAAACAAUACCGCGCCAUAAGAGAGCACAACAUAUAUGGCGGGACAUUGUAAUCACUGAACUAGAUUAGAUCUAUAAAAGUUUUACUCGGAAACAAAUAAUUCUUUGCAGUAUUUCAUCAAAACCUUAGAUUUGAAGUGUACUAUGAUUAGAAAAAUUUAAAAAUUAGAUAAAUAAGAUCAAAUACCUGAAUUGAAGUUGAAUAAAAUAAUGUGUUAAUUCUCAAAACCAGUCAGUUGAACUUUAAUUAGCCUUUGAACUGGCGAUGAUCCCCAUUUGAUUGGAAUGUAUUGUAAUUUUAUUAUUUAUUUUUCUUUAACUUACUAUCAGUAUUUACACUAAAAUUUCAAAUUAAAUUGAAAUGUUUAACGAUGGUUUUUAACUCCAUCCGCUGUUUGCGCUCCUGAAACAUAUUUUUUUUUAAUGUUGCAUGAAUAAACGAGUACAAUUCUCUGCAGUAUUUAGUAUUUUAAUGUUUACUGUUGGUGUUUCCUUUAUAUGACCCCCAGUUGGUACAGGUAUAUUGCUCCCUAUAAAUUGAUGUGGUAUUUAGUGUAAUCAGCAUCAUACACUUUAUUGACGCUAAUGGUAGUAAGAUCAAUUGUUUCAACUAUUAACUUAUUGACUUUUUGGAUAAAGAAAACAGAUGACACUAAAGAUAUUUCACUUGCAAAUUAUAUAUGAAUUUACAAGAUCUAAAGGUUCAGGUAUACCCUUUUAAGCAUUGUCAAAGUCCAUAGGUACUCGCUGUCUGCCACUGUUAGAGGAGUGUAUUUAGAUUAUUGUUUGUAAUAAAUAUUUGUGUGGUACUUCAGUCUCUCUUUAUCUUCUGUGUAUAAUACAGGACUUUAAAAGGUGUUCAGAAGUCAACCAGGGAUGUUGACGGUGUUUUAAAGGUCCAUAUCUGAAGUACAACACACACACACACACACACACACACACACACACACAUGAUAGAAAACUGACAGUGUGAAUCUUGAAUACUGAAACAGUCUUCUUAAACUGACCUUCAGCCAACUCCGACUUACUGAAACACUUAAAAACUUGUAGGUAUUAGAAGUAUUGUUAUAAUAUUUACCUGUAAGAUAAUAUUCUAGCUGAGUAAUUUUCCUUAGACUUCCAGUAAUCUUGUAAGACUUGAACAAAUAAUGAGUAGUUAAUUAUUGGAAUUAUUUAGAUUAAAAAUAUAAAGAAGACUGUUGAGUAAUCCCCCUUCUCUUUCGACUGGCCACAUGCUAGGCUCAGUGUGACCUUUUGCCUGGAGUGUUGUCCUCUGAUCAGUAUAAUGACCUUCUUCUCCUCCUCCCCCCUCCUGCAGUAAGAACGGGGCUCCCCCUCUCAGACGCGCUGCCAGCAUCGAUUCCCUAGUCGAUACCAAUGCCAGCAACAACAACAAUAACAACAACGCCAACAACAACACCAAGUCCUCGGUGCUGAGUAUGACCAAGUCCAAUGGUCACCUGAGGUCGUAUCUGCCGGUCUCCCCGGCGCUCUACAAGAGGCCAAGCUUCAAGUUCGAGAAGGCCACCACAUCUACAGCAGGUGAGUUUGGGCGUCUGUCAUGUGGGUCAUUCUGCCUGAUCAGAUGAGCGUGGGCGUUUGUCAUGGGUCACACUGCCUGAUCAG